rnacentral:lncRNA from 1 species
UUCUGUCACAUCGGUGAUGGACCAUCCAACAAAUACCCGAGCUUUUUUUUCUUGUUUCUUGUGUGAACUCAUCUCACAACCAUCAUAUCCGACUCAUUGAGUGAGUAGUGUUAUGCAUACACACUCCUAAGGAAACAUUUGUGUGAAUGAACGGAUAUGAAGUAAAGUACAAACAUGACAGUUUGCAGUCUUCGUGGAAAAAAUAAAAGUGCAAUUAACAAUAUUGAAAUUUCCAAACCUAACAUUUACGCACUCGUUUCACAAGUUCAUGUAAGAACAAAAAGUACAUUGUCGUUCAGACAUGCCAAUCAUGAAUGCUAAACUAAUAGGCAUGACCAACAUGGUUGAUGAUAUCUAAUAAGAUCAAGUGUAAUAUAUGUUUUUACCGGUCUAAUUCUAUGUGGAGAUAUUGUUUAGUAAUUAAUAAAAUUUAAGUUAGUAACAAGGCAAUAACAUAGUUCUAAUUUUGGUAAAGCUUUGUCCAUCUCCGAUUGUGCAAUAACAUAGGACAAUGAUGCUUUUCCCCAAGUUUCAAGUGAAGCAUUUAGAUAGAUGGGCAUUAAUGACCGCCAAACUCUAAAAAGUCAUCAUGAACCAUAUUGGCUAUUUUACCUUGUCAAUAGAGUCGACGAUAUGAUUCAUAAACUAAGACAUACAAUGUCUACAACACAACUUCUCAGCUGCCUAAAUAAUCACUGAAAAAUAUGAUAAUAACAUUGCACCAAUCUGAAGUUUCAGCAUACUUUUUCGCUCUAUACCAGAAUAUUUUGUUAAAAAGGAUUGCAGCUAUAUGUCAAAAUUGAUGUAAUGCCGCAUACUGAUGUAGAUAGAAUGUUAAACCACACAAGGGCAAGACCAUGGCUGACUAUAUCUUUGUCUAUGUAAAUUUAGAUUUCUACUAACAAUCGAUCCAAAACAAACAACUAUACUGUACUACAUAUUCACUAAUGUGAAUGUAGACUUUAUUAGAAAGUAAAAAUAGACCCAAAGCAGACAACCAUACUGUGUCAUCUUUGAGAAACCAUUUUAGCUCAGACAAUAUGAUUGAUAUCAAUGGGACCGAUCACAUCACUUGACCUUCAAACAGAAUGCAUACACAUUAACGAACUCCAACUCUGCAAAUGCAUAUAUGAAAGAAUUUCCAAGCCCAAAAUAUCCCAAAAAAGGAUGAUUACACACAAGGCUUCCAUUAAUACAAUGUCUUGCAUAUGCAGCUUUACUGAGAUUGUUUUCACAUAAGGCAUCAUGCCCAAUUCGAGGAUAAAGUCAAGAAGAAUGUGGACAACGAACAAACCCCGACAAUGGCAUCGAUCAAAUAUCCAGCUUCUCCACCUUCGUUCAACUUUCUAUCUCUGGUUUCAUCGGCACAACUCAUUAAUUGAUUGGAUCUUUGUUUGACUCAUUUAUGAAUCAUGGAUCAAAUAGAUCUUGGUUAGAUCUGCCCAUGCAUUGAAGGAUUUGGACAGUCAAGAUUUUCAUUGUGGUUGGCUUAGGAUUCUCGGAUUGCCCAAUGGAUUUCUUGUUGUAAUAGUAUAGUGUUCUUUGGCCUCUUCUAAAAAUAACUUUCCGUAGUAUCAUCAUACAUUUCGAAGAUACAGACAGAGAAACUACAUGUGUUCAUGUGCACCCGCAUGCUUUUCUAGAAAAGUGAGGCCCAUGUGAAUUUGAUCAUCAAAUAGAAAUCAUAGGCUACCAACAUUUCAUAAUUGUUUAGUGGAUUAUACAAUGGCAAAAUCGGCAGCCAUCGCACUGUGCUCGCAGAAUACUACCAUAUAAAAACAAUGAUCAACACCAAACUAAAAUUACAUGUAAAAGAAGAUCAGAUAAUAACACCCGGCUAUUACAUAUGAGGCAAACAAAAAAAACCCUAAUCCGGUCAUACCCUAACCUUAACCGUCCAAACCUCAUCAUAAGUAAACAGAUGAACCAGGAUCAUUGAUCCAUCCUAUAAUGUGUCUCGAUUUGAUGGAACAUGGUCGAAGCCAUGCGGAACUAAUGAUCGAUGCUCAACGAAAAUCUAUUUGUAAAAAUAGAUCAAGAAACACCUUCCUGAUCUAUCAUGAAAACCAUGAACAAGUCUAACCAAGAGCGAUACGAGCAGAGGAAGGAGGAUAAGAACCUGAUGGUCACGGCUCCCUUGUUGGAUGGCGGCUCUCGACUCAAAACCCAUCGAUAAACAAGCCAGGGAUCGAGGAUGAAUCGAGGGCGACGCCAGUGGAUCCAACCCUCGGGACCUGCUCUUGGCGGUGUUCUUUCUCGGGACGAAAUGGAGACUGCUGUCUCCCUCUCCCGAGAAUACACGAAGAAUCCCCCGUUCGAUGAAAUAAAGGAUCGA